rnacentral:rRNA from 1 species
UCGCGUGACAUUAGCUAGUUGGUAGGGUAACGGCUUACCAAGGCGACCUCUGAGAGGAGAAUCCCCCACACUGGUACUGAGACACGGACCAGACUCCUACGGGAGGCAGCAGUAAGGAAUAUGGUCAAUGGGCGGAAGCCUGAACCAGCCAUGCCGCGUGCAGGAUGACUGCCCUAUGGGUUGUAAACUGCUUUUAUACGYGUACUGAAUGUACUGGAAGAAUAAGGAUCGGCUAACUCGCGGUAAUACGGAGGAUCCGAGCGUUAUCCGGAUUUAUUGGGUUUAAAGGGUGCGUAGGCGGCCUAUUAGAAAUACGGUGGCUCAACCAUCGCAGUGCCUUUGAUACUGAUGGGCUUGAAUCCAUUUGAAGUGGGCGGAAUAAGACAAGUAGCGGUGAAAUGCAUAGAUAUGUCUUAGAACUCCGAUUGCGACUAAGCUGGUAUUGACGCUGAUGCACGAAAGCGUGGGGAUCGAACAGGAUUAGAUACCCUGGUAGUCCACGCUGAUAACUCGAUGUUGGCGAUAGACAGCCAGCGUCCCAGCGAAAGCGUUAAGUUAUCCACCUGGGGAGUACGCCCGCAAGGGUGAAACUCAAAGGAAUUGACGGCACAAGCGGAGGAGCAUGUGGUUUAAUUCGAUGAUACGCGAGGAACCUUACCCGGGCUUGAAAGUUAGUGAAGAGUGCAGAGACGCACUCGUCCUUCGGGACACGAAACUAGGUGCUGCAUGGCGCUCGUGCCGUGAGGUGUUGGGUUAAGUCCCGCAACGAGCGCAACCCCUAUGUUUAGUUGCCAGCAUUUAAGGUGGGGACUCUAAACAGACUGCCUGUGCAAACAGGGGACGACGUCAAGUCAUCAUGGC